UAUUAAAAAUUUCAUCUAUUUGUAUUGUUAGAAACUGACAUGACUGGCAUAUAGUGACAUGUCCUGCGUACCUUAUGCUGACAUAGAAUAACCAGUUUUUAAUAGUAGAAAUGGAUGGAAUUUUUAAUC
rfam:Gossypium hirsutum cultivar TM-1 chromosome 17, whole genome shotgun sequence